AUUACGUGCCCAAUACUCAAUUUGGCCAUAUUUAAAUUCAUCGUCUAUUCCAGCCAGCCGGCGGCCAUUUCGUAUGCACAAGAAGAAGGCAUCCUCGGCGGAGGCAAGUUCCCAAGUUCCCAUGAGUACAUGAGAAGUCGCAGGCAGAUCUAUUGAGUGGUUAUUUGAAUUGAACUUUGAGGUUGAAUUCGCUUCAUUUUUGUGUUAUUUAUUAUGCCCAAACUUAGCCCCAGGCGCACACGAGCUGGGCCAAAAGUGUUGAAGUAAAAUGAAAUACAACCCGGCCAGCUCUGCAAAAGAAAGAAAAAUGAACAAGAAGUAGAAUGUUUAGGCCAAUGUGGGCCGGGUUAUAAAUUCUGGCCAUAGGCCUGUCACACACGGUAAACUUCAAACUGUAACGAGACGGAACUGAUGUCACCUGAGCUGGAUGCCAAGGCUUUUGCGCUCAAUUUGACAGACAGCAGUGGGUUUGGUUACCCAGGUUGGAAAGGUUGGCCAGGUGGCUGGGCUGCGGAUGAGCUCGUUACUAAGUUCGAAGCCGAGACAUCUGUCCUGGCAGUCCUGGUGGUACUGGCGCAAUCCCGAUAGUCCUGCCAGACCGGAAACGUUGACAGCCAAACGAGUUUGAUGGAUGCGAGUGCAAUUCACUGAAAUACUUGUUUUCCAUUGCAAUCAGCUUCAGAUUGCAAGUUGUUUUUCGCUAUUGAGUCGUAAACACGCCAGUCUAUAAAUGAAUGCCAGUUUUACUAUAAAUUUGAGAUAGAAAAAUCUGUGGGCUGUCAGUGCGGCUGAUGAUUAAGUAAUUAGCGAAACGCUGGCGAACGAGGCCAAUUAGCUGAAGAGCGGAAAUUAAGCACACAUCACAUUAGCCAGCGAUGCGAUCAAGAGUUGUUCGAAGGGCUCGAAGGAUUCGAAGGACUCGGCGGGCUGGCUGCAUUUCUUUUGCCGCUUUUUGUGUGGCAAUUAGCACGCCCCGCCGCACUUGCCAGCGCAUCUGGGGACCUUGGCAGCCGCAUUUUCCCGCCGGAGAGAGAGAGCGAAAUCCGGACUCCAAGCCCCGAAACCCGGACCACCAACAACCCGGCAAGGAGCUGCAUAAAGCGCACAUUGAAAAUUAAUUGCGCCCAGCCCCGAAUGCGAGCAUAUCCGUGUGGCAGGUACAUAUCCUGCGUGCGUGAGCAGCAAACCGCAGGAUGCGGAGCGCAGGAUGUGCAGGAUGGGGAAAGGGAGGCCACUGCGGUGGCCGUGUGGUGUGCCUUUUAUGAAAAAUUAAUUUGCCCUUUGUACCGCAAUAAUAUUCCCCUUGAUCCCAACAAAUUCCCCUCCACUGCUCGGUGUGCUGGCAACCGGAGCGUAUGAUUAAUUUUUUGUACUGUUCGCAACGAGGUGGUGACUCCAAGAUUUUUCGGCUUAAGUGCUCCCGCAUUCGCAUGCCAAUUAAGCGCCAUUGA